rnacentral:lncRNA from 1 species
UUUUCCUUCAAUGGUCAGCGUCAAGUUGCCCGACAUGUGGAAAACCCGGGACUUCCGGUGAGAGACGUUGCAAUAAGUCUGGGGACGACGCAGCGGAGGGAGGAGUAGCUGCGCUGUGAAGAGCCGACCCGUCCACGUUCGUGCCCCCUGGCGGUUGCGGGCGGUAUGAUCAAUGUUUGGUCACUGUCGUAAAGACGCCGCGGGAGCAAGACGCGGGUACUUUUCCUCAGAGCUCCUGGGGAAGUUGUCAACACCGCUUUGGAGAUAAUAACAGAGGGGAAACAAGUAUGUGCACUGAAGCUCCCGCUUCGUUUCAAUGGCUGCUAGCAUCAACCAGUGGCAGCGUUAGCAUCACCCCAGCAGAUCAUGAUGGUCAACAGCACCCUGGAGACCUUCGUCAGUGGAGAUGGCGGGGACACAGACCUGACCUCCGGCGCCUCUCCAGGAACACGGUGCAGUCUGGACCAAGAAGAAGCCAGAGACACAGCUCUUCAGAGGCCACCCAAGCCGACACUCAGCCCUAUACCGAUCUGAUCAGAGAGCCAAAAACAGCACACAGCCCUAUCUACGAAAACCUGACGACUCGAACGGCAGGUUCCGGCAGGCUGGCAGAAAACCAGAGCACGUCGCCUGAAGAGAAUUUUUACUUGCAGUGUGAUUCACCGGAUCAUGCAAUAUACAGCAACGACCCGAAGUGUAACCCAGCCCUCCUCCACGACUCCCCAGAAGAGGAUGUGUACAUUAUGCCUGAUUCAUGAUAAG